rnacentral:lncRNA from 1 species
GUGGUUGGUUCCCUUAUAGGGGAGGUUAUAUUCAUUUGCUUGAAUAUGGAGACAUCGUCGAUAUGUGUAUCACUUCCUGUCGCAACAAGUAAGAAGUUCGUGUGUACUUUGAACAUCCAACAAAAGUGUCAUUAGUUAUUGCACAUGCACCUAUGAGGAAACAAUAUGGUUGAAGAAAGUGUUGAUGAACGAGAUGUUACAGAAAAAGGAGUUGAUUUUUUGAAGAUGUACUAAUUGAAGCUGGUG